UACGUAGGGUGCAAGCGUUGUCCGGAAUUAUUGGGCGUAAAGAGCUCGUAGGCGGUCUGUCGCGUCGGCUGUGAAAACCCGGGGCUCAACCCCGGGCCUGCAGUCGAUACGGGCAGACUAGAGUGCGGUAGGGGAGACUGGAAUUCCCGGUGUAGUGGUGGAAUGCGUAGAUAUCGGGAGGAACACCAGUGGCGAAGGCGGUUGCCUGGGGCUUUGCUGACGCUGAUGCGCGAAAGCGUGGGGAGCGAUCCGG
rnacentral:rRNA from 1 species